rnacentral:rRNA from 1 species
AAUAUUGCACAUUGGGGGAAACCCUGAUGUAGCAACGCCGCUUGAAGGAAGAAGGCCUUCUGUUUGUAAACUUCGUUGACCGGGGACGAAUAAUGACGGUACCCGGAAAACAAGCCACGUCUAACUACGUGCCAGCAACCUCUGUAAUACGUAGGUGGCAAGCGUUGUCCGGAUUUACUGGGUGUAAAGGGCGUGUAGGCGGGUUUUUAAGUAAGAUGUGAAAUACCGGGGCUCAACUCCGGGGCUGCAUCUGAAACUGGAGAUCUUGAGUACUGGAGGGGAAAGUGGAAUUCCUAGUGUAGCGGUGAAAUGCGUAGAGAUUAGGAGGAACACCAGUGGCGAAGGCGGCUUUCUGGACAGUAACUGACGCUGAGGCGCGAAAGCGUGGGGAGCAAACAGG